GACGAACGCUGGCGGCGUGCUUAACACAUGCAAGUCGAACGGAAAGGCCCUGCUCUUGUGGGGUGCUCGAGUGGCGAACGGGUGAGUAACACGUGAGUAACCUGCCCCUGACUUUGGGAUAACUUCAGGAAACUGGGGCUAAUACCGGAUAGGAGCUCCUGCUGCAUGGUGGGGGUUGGAAAGUUUCGGCGGUUGGGGAUGGACUCGCGGCUUAUCAGCUUGUUGGUGGGGUAGUGGCUUACCAAGGCUUUGACGGGUAGCCGGCCUGAGAGGGUGACCGGCCACAAUGGGACUGAGAUACGGCCCAGACGCCUACGGGAGGCAGCAGUGGGGAAUAUUGCACAAUGGGCGGAAGCCUGAUGCAGCAACGCCGCGUGCGGGAUGACGGCCUUCGGGUUGUAAACCGCUUUCGCCUGUGACGAAGCGUGAGUGACGGUAAUGGGUAAAGAAGCACCGGCUAACUACGUG
rnacentral:rRNA from 1 species